ACAUACGGAAUGGCAGGCGCGUAUUAUAUGUAAUUUGAGCCUGUGUAGGUUAGUGUCUAUCAUAUGUGUCUCCCGUGCCCUGUAGGCCGGUCAUGGUAGACAGCCAGAGGGACUCGUCAAGCACAGCCAACAGUCGAACCAGGAAGUGGGUGUCCCCGCGUCCGUAAACAACAUGGCUGUGCUCGGCGAUCGUGAACUGUUGCAGGCUCGAGAAGAGGAGAGGAUGGCAGGUGCCCGUCCACUACCCACUCAGGAACUAUUUAAGAUGGCAAACCAGAUGGAGGUGGUCACGUACGUCGGGGACAUCACGACGAUAAGUGACGCCAGUGGCGUUGUGACGGGGGAAGGGCUGGAGUUUGAACAUGAUAGUUUUGUCACAAGGGCUCUGAAAGAAAAUUCAAGUGAAUUUGCUGUGAAAAGAGAAGAACUAAAGGGGAAAGCAAGACGUUUCAAGUCGUGGUCAGUUCACACCACGAUACUAUCUGAACCAUCGCCAUUUAGUUAUGUCUUUCACGCCGUCAUCAAAAGCCCUGACCAUACCAACAGAUGGGUGAAGAAAACGGAACACUUAUACAAGACAAUAAUGAAGAAAGCAGAGAAGAAUGAUGUGAAAGUGUUGGCUAUUCCUCUUCUUGGUACAGGUCGAGGUGGUGCAUCUCCAGCAGACGCUGCCCAGGCCGCUGUGAAAGCCGUGGCUAAGUUUGACAACCAGCGCCUGCAGAAGGUGUUUUUGGUUACAAUCGACAAAUCCAUCGGCGACACAUUGUAUACCCAGUGUGAAUACCAAGGAAGUCCUCUCUGCCGUGAGAAAAACUUUAAACGUCGAAACUCCAUUAGGAGGUUUUUUUGUGGAGGUUCAAGAACACAGGAUGAGGAUAGGGCUAGCUAUGGGAAGGCACCAAUGGACAACCGUCCACGUUCUAACCGUAACAAAGACCAGAAUCACAGCCGUCCGGUCGAGAAGUACACACAAAUUGGAGAUGAAAGGAGAGAUGAAACCAAUUUUCACCGAAAUCAAUAUACAGGAUCGAUCGAGGGAAAUGAGAAUCACAACAGAUAUAGACCAGAAAGUGAGUAUGCCGGUAGGUGUAGAAAAGUAUCAACAGACUACCGUUCAGGUUCUCACCGCAACAGAUACCAGAACCGCAGAUACCCGGAUGAGGGGUACGGACCAAUUACCCAUGGGUAUGAAGAUAGUGAGAGUGAUGAAACCUUUAUACAUACAGGAGCGGUGAACACAAGUGAGAAACGCCACAGAGAUAGGCGAUCUGAAACGGUUCCAGGUUCACGUACUGUGAAUGACCAAGGUUGGUCAAUGGGACCGGGAUCUUCUAGGGCAGCGGUAUGGGAUAAUGCUUUCAUGCCUGACCGUGAAAACAGAUGUGACACACGAGAAGCAGGGCACAGGCAUGUAGAUGGACAGGGUGAUGAUUAUGGAAGACCAGUAAAGACCAUGCAGACAAACCCGGGUGACACGACACACAGAAAUAAUGCACAUCGCGAAGGAGUUGAUGGGCAUGGACAGGAAAGGGAAGGCUACUCUGGGUACAACAAAGCAAACAAUGAGACCAUGUUUUCUUUACCGGACCGAAAUCACAAUGGCGAUACAAGGGGUGAAUCUGGAAACAGGUCGCUGAACGUUGCUGACGUACAUUCAAGUCACAUCCCAUCACAAUCUUUUCCAAGGCAUUCCAGGUCAGAUCCUGUAUCUUUUCGUGCAAUGUUACAGGCAAACAUCUAUAACGCGCCCCACCGGGACACCACACAUGACAGCCAUCAUUUGAGUUACAAGGGAUACUCCACUGAUAGACAUGGCGAUGAUGGUAGGCGACAACAACAGUGGCAACAAUCCAAGACAACCAAGGCAACUCUUGUCGUCGGUCAGACAUGUUUGGAUGAAAGCGCAUCUGGAUUUGAUCACAAUGGCAGUGUCCUCCAUGGCACUAGUCGCUCACCCUAUCCAUUGACCGUCAACCUUGAUGCCGUCGGCGGAGAGCUAAGGAAUGUAAGACAUUCUUCAAUUACAGACAGGAUACGAGGCAUGGAUAAUUCCACCAGACCAGAAGUCGUAAUAAAGAUUGAAAUCAAUGGAGUUCCCUAUGGGGAUAGUACAGUCCCGCCUGGAAAUAGCAGUGGGAAGGUAGCAAGGAAGGGAAGUAGCAAUGAUGUCAAGCUCUUUGAUAUGAGUGAUACCAGAAGUCCUAUUUAUAUUGGCCCAAUCACAGACCCAAAAUGGCUGAAGAAAUGCGGCCAUGUGUUCUGUCGGGAGUGCAUAGAUGACAGCUUCAAGAAGUUCAAACCCGUGUGUCCCAGCUGCAACAUGGUGUAUGGCGUCCUGACGGGGAACCAGCCGGAGGGGUCCAUGGAUGUCGCCUUCAGCGGGGAGCACCUGCCUGGGUAUGAGACCUGUGGCACCAUCAGUAUCACAUACCAUCUGCCUAGUGGCAUACAGAGGGAAGACCACCCGAACCCAGGACAGCCCUACAAGGGAACAACGAGACGAACUUUCCUGCCAGACUGCCGAGAAGGAAGAGAUGUUCUCCGUCUCCUGAGGAAAGUGUUUGACAGGAAGUUAACCUUUACCAUCGGUCGUUCUACAACUACCGGUCAAGAGAAUGUCGUAACGUGGAACGACAUCCACCAUAAGACGAACAUAGAAGGUGGACCCACGAGUCUUGGCGACAGCUUCGAGAAGUUCAAACCCGUGUGUCCCAGUUGCAACAUAGUGUAUGGCGUCCUGACGGGGAACCAGCCGAAGGGGUCCAUGGAUGUCACCUUCAGCGGGGAGCACCUGCCUGGGUAUGAGACCUGUGGCACCAUCAGUAUCACAUACCAUCUGCCUAGUGGCCUACAGAGGGAAGACCACCCGAACCCAGGACAGCCCUACAAGGGAACAACGAGACGAGCUUUCCUGCCAGACUGCCGUGAAGGUAGAGAUGUUCUCCGCCUCCUGAGGAAGGCGUUUGACAGGAAGUUAACCUUUACCAUCGGUCGUUCUACAACUACCGGUCAAGAGAAUGUCGUAACGUGGAACGACAUCCACCAUAAGACGAACAUGGAAGGUGGACCUACGAGAUUCGGCUACCCCGACCCAGGCUAUCUGGAGCGGGUGAAGGACGAGCUUGCCAGCAAGGGCGUGACGGAAAACAUAGAGACGACGUUUUAGCGGACUCCGUCGUCUCUGAAUGACCUUCAGGUGUCGAGAGAAGCAUAGACAUCAUAGCCACACCACGUAUUGUUUGAGAAUGUCUGUAUUUGUGUUCCAUGUGUGAUAGGAAGGUGUUAUAUAUCCUAUUACUAUAAAAUCGAUCUAUAAAUCGAUCUAAAAUCGAACCCAUUUCUAUUCCCAAGGAAUAGUUAUUGUUCCUAUAUAUAAAAGUGACCAAACCCUCUCAACAACAUAUGAAAUCUCUGCUGUAAGCAGAAUCCAUUGUGCGAUUCCUACGAUAUCAUAACCAAGUUUUUAUGAAUCACUCUAAAAUAGUGAUGAUACCAGGUGUUAGGUGAAAGACGAGUCUAUCCAAUGUGAGCGUAUCGUGCCCGAAUGGGGGAACCCGUCACAAACACAUGGGAAGGCACGUCGUUUGAUCGCCUGAAAAGACGAUGGAACAUAUAGAAACAACAAUCUUCGACUAUUUUGGAGGACCCUAUGCCUGCGUUAUAUGGGGGUUGACGGAAGCAGUGCAGAGUGAAGGGACGGAAGAGCUAUUAUAAUCAGAUGUCGUUAGGCAAUAUAUUAUGUGUAUAUUUGUAUAUCCUGUGCACAUUCGUUUACAAUGUCCUUUGCAUGUUUACACAGAUUUUUUCUAGGUUGUGUAUUCAUGGUUGUCAGUGAUGUAUUUAAGGAUUUUGAAUAUUACGUUGUCAGUCAUAAAACAUAAAGUAGUUUAUUGAUGUUAUUGAAACGAUACGUUUUCUUAUUUAACAAAUUCACGAUUGUCCGUUGUUGCUGGUACCUUAGCGUCACCCUACAUGCAUCAAUUACGUCACCCUACACACUUCAAUGUACGUCACCCUAAAUACUUCAAUGUACGUCACUCUACAUGCAUCAAUGUACGUCACCCUACAUGCAUCAAUGUACGUCACCCUACAUGCUUCAAUGUACGUCACCCUACAUGCUUCAAUGUACGUCACCCUACAUACUUCAAUGUACGUCAUCCUACAUACAGCAAUGUAGGUCACCCUACAUACAGCAAUGUAUGUCGCCCUACAUACAGCAAUGUAGGUCACCCUACAUACAGCAAUGUAGGUCACCCUACAUACAGCAAUGUACGUCGCCCUACAUACAGCAAUGUAGGUCACCCUACAUACAGCAAUGUACGUCACUCUACAUACUUCAAUGUACGUCACCCUACAUACAGCAAUGUAUGUCGCCCUACAUACAGCAAUGUAUGUCGCCCUACAUGCUUCAAUGUACGUCACCCUACAUGCUUCACUGUACGUCACCCUACAUGCAUCAAUGUACGUCACUCUACAUACUUCAAUGUACGUCACCCUACAUACAGCGAUGUACGUCACUCUACAUACUUCAAUGUACGUCACCCUACAUACAGCAAUGUACGUCACCCUACAUACAGCAAUGUACGUCACCCUACAUACAGCAAUGUACGUCGCCCUACAUACAGCAAUGUAGGUCACCCUACAUACAGCAAUGUAGGUCACGUUACAUACAGCAAUGCACGUCAUCCCAUAUGCACUAAUGUGCAUGACCCUACAUCCAAUAUACGUUGGCAUACAUUAUAUUAGCUAACUACUUAUAUAUUCUACGUAAUUCACUUUACCCUAUCGGCAUGGCAAUUCCUGAUUAGAACAUUGGUAUGAUGUUGUUUGUUGUUUGCUUAUGUGAAACUUCGCAGAUAAACGCUCACUAAUUCUCA
rnacentral:misc_RNA from 1 species